rnacentral:rRNA from 1 species
GACGAACGCUGGCGGCGUGCCUAAUACAUGCAAGUAGAACGCUGAAGGAGGAGCUUGCUUCUCUGGAUGAGUUGCGAACGGGUGAGUAACGCGUAGGUAACCUGCCUGGUAGCGGGGGAUAACUAUUGGAAACGAUAGCUAAUACCGCAUAAUAGCAGUUAUUGCAUGAUAACUGUUUGAAAGGUGCAAUUGCACCACUACCAGAUGGACCUGCGUUGUAUGAGCUAGUUGGUGGGGUAACGGCUCACCAAGGCGACGAUACAUAGCCGACCUGAGAGGGGGGUCGGCCACCCUGGGACUGGGACCCGGCCCAGACUCCUACGGGAGGCAGCAGUAGGGCAUCUUCGGCCAUGGACGGAAGUCUGACCGCGCUACGCCGCGUGCGUGAAGAAGGUUUUCGGGUCGUAAAGCUCUGUUGUCAGAGAAGAACGCGUGUGAGAGUGGAACGUUCACACUGUGACGGUAUCUUACCAGAAAGGGACGGCUAACUACGUG